CGGGGUGGAGCAGUCUGGUAGCUCGUCGGGCUCAUAACCCGAAGGUCGUCGGUUCAAAUCCGGCCCCCG
rnacentral:tRNA from 1 species